rnacentral:rRNA from 1 species
CACUAUCGUUAACUGAAUACAUAGGUUAACGAGGCGAACCGGGGGAACUGAAACAUCUAAGUACCCCGAGGAAAAGAAAUCAACCGAGAUUCCCCCAGUAGCGGCGAGCGAACGGGGAGCAGCCCAGAGUCUGAAUCAGCUUGUGUGUUAGUGGAACGGUCUGGAAAGUCCGACGGUACAGGGUGAUAGUCCCGUACACCAAAAUGCACAGGUUGUGAACUCGAAGAGUAGGGCGGGACACGUGGUAUCCUGUCUGAAUAUGGGGGGACCAUCCUCCAAGGCUAAAUACUCCUGACUGACCGAUAGUGAACCAGUACCGUGAGGGAAAGGCGAAAAGAACCCCGGCGAGGGGAGUGAAAAAGAACCUGAAACCGUGUACGUACAAGCAGUGGGAGCACCUUCGGGUGUGACUGCGUACCUUUUGUAUAAUGGGUCAGCGACUUAUAUUCUGUAGCAAGGUUAACCGUAUAGGGGAGCCGCAGGGAAACCGAGUCUUAACUGGGCGUUAAGUUGCAGGGUAUAGACCCGAAACCCGGUGAUCUAGCCAUGGGCAGGUUGAAGGUUGGGUAACACUAACUGGAGGACCGAACCGACUAAUGUUGAAAAAUUAGCGGAUGACUUGUGGCUGGGGGUGAAAGGCCAAUCAAACCGGGAGAUAGCUGGUUCUCCCCGAAAGCUAUUUAGGUAGCGCCUCGUGAAUUCAUCUUCGGGGGUAGAGCACUGUUUCGGCUAGGGGGUCAUCCCGACUUACCAACCCGAUGCAAACUACGAAUACCGAAGAAUGUUAUCACGGGAGACACACGGCGGGUGCUAACGUCCGUCGUGAAGAGGGAAACAACCCAGACCGCCAGCUAAGGUCCCAAAGUCAUGGUUAAGUGGGAAACGAUGUGGGAAGGCACAGACAGCCAGGAUGUUGGCUUAGAAGCAGCCAUCAUUUAAAGAAAGCGUAAUAGCUCACUGGUCGAGUCGGCCUGCGCGGAAGAUGUAACGGGGCUAAACCAUGCACCGAAGCUGCGGCAGCGACACUAUGUGUUGUUGGGUAGGGGAGCGUUCUGUAAGCCUGCGAAGGUGACCUGUGAGGGUUGCUGGAGGUAUCAGAAGUGCGAAUGCUGACAUAAGUAACGAUAAAGCGGGUGAAAAGCCCGCUCGCCGGAAGACCAAGGGUUCCUGUCCAACGUUAAUCGGGGCAGGGUGAGUCGACCCCUAAGGCGAGGCCGAAAGGCGUAGUCGAUGGGAAACAGGUUAAUAUUCCUGUACUUGGUGUUACUGCGAAGGGGGGACGGAGAAGGCUAUGUUAGCCGGGCGACGGUUGUCCCGGUUUAAGCAUGUAGGCUGAUUAUCCAGGCAAAUCCGGAUAAUCAAGGCUGAGGUGUGAUGACGAGGCACUACGGUGCUGAAGUAACAAAUGCCCUGCUUCCAGGAAAAGCCUCUAAGCAUCAGGUAACAUCAAAUCGUACCCCAAACCGACACAGGUGGUCAGGUAGAGAAUACCAAGGCGCUUGAGAGAACUCGGGUGAAGGAACUAGGCAAAAUGGUGCCGUAACUUCGGGAGAAGGCACGCUGGUGUGUAGGUGAAGCCCCUGCGGGUGGAGCUGAGACCAGUCGAAGAUACCAGCUGGCUGCAACUGUUUAUUAAAAACACAGCACUGUGCAAACACGAAAGUGGACGUAUACGGUGUGACGCCUGCCCGGUGCCGGAAGGUUAAUUGAUGGGGUUAUCCGUAAGGAGAAGCUCUUGAUCGAAGCCCCGGUAAACGGCGGCCGUAACUAUAACGGUCCUAAGGUAGCGAAAUUCCUUGUCGGGUAAGUUCCGACCUGCACGAAUGGCGUAAUGAUGGCCAGGCUGUCUCCACCCGAGACUCAGUGAAAUUGAACUCGCUGUGAAGAUGCAGUGUACCCGCGGCAAGACGGAAAGACCCCGUGAACCUUUACUAUAGCUUGACACUGAACAUUGAGCCUUGAUGUGUAGGAUAGGUGGGAGGCUUUGAAGCGUGGACGCCAGUCUGCGUGGAGCCAACCUUGAAAUACCACCCUUUAAUGUUUGAUGUUCUAACGUUGGCCCCUUACCGGGGUUGCGGACAGUGUCUGGUGGGUAGUUUGACUGGGGCGGUCUCCUCCCAAAGCGUAACGGAGGAGCACGAAGGUUAGCUAAUCCUGGUCGGACAUCAGGAGGUUAGUGCAAUGGCAUAAGCUAGCUUGACUGCGAGCGUGACGGCGCGAGCAGGUGCGAAAGCAGGUCAUAGUGAUCCGGUGGUUCUGAAUGGAAGGGCCAUCGCUCAACGGAUAAAAGGUACUCCGGGGAUAACAGGCUGAUACCGCCCAAGAGUUCAUAUCGACGGCGGUGUUUGGCACCUCGAUGUCGGCUCAUCACAUCCUGGGGCUGAAGUAGGUCCCAAGGGUAUGGCUGUUCGCCAUUUAAAGUGGUACGCGAGCUGGGUUUAGAACGUCGUGAGACAGUUCGGUCCCUAUCUGCCGUGGGCGCUGGAGAAUUGAGGGGGGCUGCUCCUAGUACGAGAGGACCGGAGUGGACGCAUCACUGGUGUUCGGGUUGUCAUGCCAAUGGCACUGCCCGGUAGCUAAAUGCGGAAGAGAUAAGUGCUGAAAGCAUCUAAGCACGAAACUUGCCCCGAGAUGAGUUCUCCCUGAGACUUUAAGUCUCCUGAAGGAACGUUGAAGACGACGACGUUGAUAGGCCGGGUGUGUAAGCGCAGCGAUGCGUUGAGCUAACCGGUACUAAUGAACCGUGAGGCUUAACCUU